rnacentral:tRNA from 1 species
GUUUUUAUAGUUGAAUAACAACGGUGGUUUUUCAGACCAUUGGUCUUGGUAAUUUAUCCAGGUAAAAAUU